UCCAGUUAAGUUAACAGCGAGUCGGUCAGAGAUCAUAGAGACGGCCUCAGUUAUCCUGACCUGUGAGGGUCGGCGUAGUUCACGCUGUUUUUUAUACACUCCAAGUGGAGGAACGGUUCAGGACUUCUCCUGUACCCAGACCUUUACUGGAACUGAGCUGCUGCAGAUGGCAAAAUGUUCUUCACCUGCUGACGUUGGAUUGAGGUGCUGCUUCCCCGAUCAGCCUGAAUCAUGUUCUCACUACAGUGACAUGAUCUCCGUCAAUGUACAACAUUAUAACAAAGUCACAGCUGCAUCCAAGCCUCACAUCACCAAGUUCAACCCAAACAUUUGACUGCAGUGAUGUGAUCCAAGAUGGAUGCCAGAGUUUAGAGACAUUUUAGAGAUGUUGCCCGUCUUAUUUCAGCUUGACAGCACACAAAAGUAAGUUUGUUUUUUAAUUUGCAGCUGUUCCUGCACCUGAAUUUACCGUGAAUCCAGCAGUGAUCACAGAAACAGACACAGUCACACUGACCUGCACGGCUCCUUCAUCUGUUUCUGUCUCUACAUGUUAUUUAUUCAUUCUGUUUGAAUCAAGAAGAUUUGAGAGAAACAUUUCCUGUCAUCAGACGCUAAGAGGAGCUGAACUGCUACAAAUGGUAAACAUGGAAAGUCGAAGACUUCCUGCUGAGGUUAAAGUGAACUGUCGGUACAGAACUGAACCUGGACAUGUGCUUUCUGAAUAUGGGAAUCCAUCAUCCAUCCUCAUUCAAGAUGAAGCAGAGAAAAAAACUGAUUUAACAACCUUCAUUCCCAGCAGAACUUCAACUGGACCCACAAGCAAAAC